GCAGGCCACCUUAUCGCUCCUUAGGGAGAGGAAAGUCCGGGCACCACAGUGUAGUAUAGCGGGUAACACCCGUCCGUCGAAAGGCGAGGACAAGUGCAACAGAAAGGAUGUACAGGUAAUGCUGUAGUGAAAUCAGGUAAACUCUAUACGGUGCAACGCCAUGUAUACCGACGUUUGAGGGCUACACGCUCGAGUUGGAGGGUAGGCGGAUAGAACCUUAGAGCAAUUUAAGGUCUAGAUCAAUGAUAAGGCGUCUUUGGAUGUACAGAACCCGGCUUACGGCCUGCUUUU
rnacentral:RNase_P_RNA from 1 species